UACAGAGGGGGCAAGCGUUGUUCGGAAUUACUGGGCGUAAAGGGCGCGUAGGCGGCCUGUUAAGUCGAACGUGAAAUCCCCGGGCUCAACCCGGGAACUGCGUCCGAUACUGGCAGGCUUGAAUUCGGGAGAGGGAUGCGGAAUUCCAGGUGUAGCGGUGAAAUGCGUAGAGAUCGGGAAGAACAUCGGUGGCGAAAGCGCUCUACUGGACCGCAACUGACACUCAGGGACGAAAGCUAGGGGAGCGAAUGGG
rnacentral:rRNA from 1 species